rnacentral:rRNA from 1 species
GACGAACGCUGGCGGCGUGCUUAACACAUGCAAUUCGAACGGAAAGGCCCUGCUUUUGUGGGGUGCUCGAGUGGCGAACGGGUGAGUAACACGUGAGUAACCUGCCCUUUACUUUGGGAUAACUUCAGGAAACUGGGGCUAAUACCGGAUAGGAGCUCCUGCUGCAUGGUGGGGGUUGGAAAGUUUCGGCGGUUGGGGAUGGACUCGCGGCUUAUCAGCUUGUUGGUGGGGUAGUGGCUUACCAAGGCUUUGACGGGUAGCCGGCCUGAGAGGGUGACCGGCCACAUUGGGACUGAGAUACGGCCCAGACUCCUACGGGAGGCAGCAGUGGGGAAUAUUGCACAAUGGGAGGAAGCCUGAUGCAGCAACGCCGCGUGCGGGAUGACGGCCUUCGGGUUGUAAACCGCUUUCGCCUGUGACGAAGCGUGAGUGACGGUAAUGGGUAAAGAAGCACCGGCUAACUACGUG